rnacentral:lncRNA from 1 species
UAUGAAACAAAAUAUCAAUAUCCCUUAUGGUUACAAUACAGUUUAAAACAAUUCAGAAGGUUCAAAAAAUAAUCAAAUGGUCCAAAACAAAAUAUGGUCCGUGUAGCAGUCCAACAGGUCCAACACAGUUCAGCCCACUUGAACAAGUCCAAUCACAAUCGCACACUUGACCUCUAGCAGGAGUCCAAGAGCAAUCGUACAGUUCCACAAUCCAAUCGCACAAUAUGUCAAUCGCAUAAUUUGACACUUUCGAUUGCACAAAUUGACACUCUCAAAUGAGCCUUUUGGUCAAUCGCACAAGUUGACACUUUUAAGUGAACGUUUAGCCAAUCGCACAAGUUGUCACCUUCAACUGAAUCUUUAGCCAAUCGCACUAGUUGUCACCUUCAACUGAACCUUUAGCCAAUCGCACAAGUUGUCAAUCGCACAGUUCCAAUAUCAACAGUUCAAAUGAACAGUUGAUCGCACAAGAUACGCCCAAUCGCACACCUUGUUAUGGAUCGCACAAGUGGUUAAAUUGGGCCUGAAUCCUUAAAAGCCCAAUUAAUUUGCAAUCGCACACCUGUUUUGGAUCACACAAGCUUGGACUUGAUUCCUUAACAGUACAAACAAUUCACAAUCGCACAACUUAUUUUUGGAAAUAUGAUCACACAAAUUUUCAACCACAAUCCCGAGAAAUAUGGUGAUUGAAUUUUCAAAUCUGUUUGAGGAUUUCCUGCAACAACUUUCCAAAAUUCCUGCAAACACAAUCAAUCUUGCACACAAACGGAUCAAAUCCCACUUUUAUUCAAAAAUUUUGAUGAAUAUUUGAUGAUCUUCGAAGCAGAAACACCCAGAAAUUUAAAAUUUUCACUGAACUUUUAACUGAAAAUAAGAACUUUUGGGUUUUAAAACUUUCAAUUUCACAGACCAGAGAAUUUGAAUAUCAAAAAUCAAUAGUCAAUUCUCAAUUCUGACAUUAAAAUCAGUUUAUUUUCACAAAAGCUUUUGCCAAAACAAAUCAGAAUUUGAGAUUAAAUGCUUUGUUUUGUCUCACAAUAUAGCAGUUUGAUUUUGAACAAAACAGAAAACAACUUCAAGAUCUGUGUUCGAGCCUUAACUUGGGUCGAUAUUUAGAUGUAAUUAAUCAGUUUUUCAAGAAGAAAAAUAUGCAACUCACACCCUCUAUAUCCCAAGAAACAGUCGACAAGAAAGAAAAGUAUAAAUUGAACUGAAAUAAACGAAAAAUCAGACCUUUCUUUGUCGAAUCUGAACACCGAUCAACAGCAAAACACACUUCAAUCUUCAAGAUAUCCGAUCAAAAACCCAGCCUUCGCAAGACCACUUAGGCUUUGAUACCAAUUGUAAGUCCCAAAAAAAUACAAUUGGAUAUCAAACACCAAACAAGUAGUGGAAUUACAAGUAAGAUGUAGAAGAUUGAACAAGCAAUGCAUUGAUUCCAAGCAAAACCGAGCACACGAUCUAUGAUCGUUUGGUACUCUUGAUCGAUUACAAGCACAAGUUUUUCAGAGAAUCAACAACCAAAAAUGACUAAGGAAUCCCCUAUUUAUACAAGCAUAGGAGAUCCUAUUACAUUGGGCCAAGUGUUAGGACCGGUUUUCGACUCCGAAACGAUUGCGUAUGACACGUUCGACGUGCGGAAUCCGUGAACAUGCGUGACCGAACACACGAGAACGUACUAAAUCUGUGAUUCCAUUGAUAAUAUGAAAAGUACAAAUGAACCGUGAAUCACCUCUUGCACUUUCUCUCUCUAGUUUCUCUCUCUAGGGUCCAAGCUCUCCAAAGUAGCAAAUGUGCAAAAGUCUCCAAAAGUUCUAAAUGAGAACCCUAAUGGUGCUAUUUAUAGAUUUUCCAUUUCUCUCUCACCACCUUCUUUCUUCAUUCAUUCAUUCAUUGAGCAUAUUCCUCCGGGGUUUCAUGUUACACUAGAUCUCAAUAUUUCCAUUGAAGAUCCCUUUCUCCAACCAUUAGUAGAAGAAAUUCUAGGUUUUUUAAAUCAUGUUCAUCAUGUUUGUUGCAUUAAAUUUAUUUAUGUUCAUCACUUGAGUAAUUAUUUUUUUGUGAAAGUGUAAUAACUUCAAUAAAUAGUUUUUCUCAUUUUUAGAAACUGUCACAUUUAAUGACGUUUUUUUUGGUAAACAUCGAGAUAUAGACAAACCUUUAGAUUAACACAGUUGACGAGAAGAAAAACCUUGACUUGAUGAAAACUUCAUUUCAUGAUGUCUUUGUUUUUUUUUGCUGUUGCAUUCAAGCUUGUUUUUCAUGUAACAAAGACGUAUUCAACUCAGUAUAUAAAUUUUGUAGAUGGUUGUGAAGGUAAUUAAGAGAGAGAGAGAGAGAGUGGAAAGGACGGACAAUGUGAUUCAAAGAGAGAGAAUGAGAUGAAUAUUUUUUUUCUGGGGAGAAUUAAACGUGCUUCACCCUGCUCACGUUCCCGAUAAGAGUACCUUCUUCUUGAUGUGUCUGGCAUGUUUAUGAGUAAUCUACACAUAAUGGCAUCAAGUUGUUGAUCUUCUUGAAAAACUUGUGCUUCCCAUUCAUUAUACUCACUCGAUGAAUCAGAUCUCUCAGAUGAGUUUUCACUAUUAGACAUUUUAGAAGUUAAUAUUU